rnacentral:rRNA from 1 species
ACGAACGCUGGCGGCGUGCUUAACACCUGCAAGUCGAACGGAAAGGCCCUGCUUUUGUGGGGUGCCCGAGUGGCGAACGGGUGAGUAACACGUGAGUAACCUGCCCUUGACUUUGGGAUAACUUCAGGAAACUGGGGCUAAUACCGGAUAGGAGCUCCUGCUGCAUGGUGGGGGUUGGAAAGUUUCGGCGGUUGGGGAUGGACUCGCGGCUUAUCAGCUUGUUGGUGGGGUAGUGGCUUACCAAGGCUUUGACGGGUAGCCGGCCUGAGAGGGUGACCGGCCACAUUGGGACUGAGAUACGGCCCAGACUCCUACGGGAGGCAGCAGUGGGGAAUAUUGCACAAUGGGCGGAAGCCUGAUGCAGCAACGCCGCGUGCGGGAUGACGGCCUUCGGGUUGUAAACCGCUUUCGCCUGUGACGAAGCGUGAGUGACGGUAAUGGGUAAAGAAGCACCGGCUAACUACGUG